CUUGGUCAUUUAGAGGAAGUAAAAGUCGUAACAAGGUUUCCGUAGGUGAACCUGCGGAAGGAUCAUUAACACGUAUCCAACGUUAAAAACCCCGUGCACCUUAAUCCUGCUCUCCUCGCCUUGAUAAGCAAUCUCUGGUAAAUCACGCUGACCGGUUUGAUUCAGAGACCUCUUUGAGACGUGGGGAUUGAGCGGUAGAGCAAAUAGACUUGGUUUCUGAGCUCUUUCGGGAGUGAUGAUAACUGAUACUUACUCAGAUCGUUGGCCCUCACGGCCAACGGACAGGUCUCUGGGGCUUCGGCUCCCCAUAUUAACCCCGUAUGUGAAAGUCGGGCUUGCAAACAACAGGCCCACAAAAACGAACAACUGUUAACAAUGGAUAUCUUGGUUCUCGCAACGAUGAAGAACGCAGCGAAAUGCGAUACGUAAUGCGAAUUGCAGAAUUCAGUGAAUCAUCGAAUCUUUGAACGCAAAUUGCGCUCCGGGUUACCCCCGAGAGCACACCUCUCUGAGUGUCGGUUUAACCAAAUGUCACCAAUUUAUUGGUGUACGACAGACUGAGGGUAAGGAGUCUCGGUUUCUUUCCCUUUAAAUCUCAGCAGCACGACUGUGUGUGUUCGUGGCAAGUUGCUUUCACUUAACUGUGAAUCCAAUCCAUGAACCCUAUGUUGCGCAGCAAAAGAAACAAAUGAACAGAGUUGUGAACUUGGAAGCAUGCGCAAGUGUGCGACUAAGGGAACGUCCCUGUGCAUCCAUGAAUUAGACCUCAGAUGAAGUGGGAAGACCCCCUGAAUUUAAGCAUAUUAUUAAGGGGAGGAAAAGAAACUAACAAGGAUUCCCCCAGUAACGGCGAGUGAAGCGGGAAGAGCUCAAAUUUAAAAUCCGCUGGUCUAACAGCCGGUGGAGUUGUAAUCUAGAGAGGCUCUCUCAGUGCCAGCCUGGUUAUAAGUCCCUUGAAACGGGGCAUCAUAGAGGGUGAGAAUCCCGUCUUUGAGCCGGAGCUAAGUACGUACGAGGAGUUUUCUAAGAGUCGCGUUGCUUGGGAGUGCAGCGCUAAAUGGGUGGUAAAGUUCAUCUAAAGCUAAAUACUGGCGAGAGACCGAUAGCGAACAAGUACCGUGAGGGAAAGAUGAAAAGAACUUUGAAAAGAGAGUUAAAAAGUACUUGAAAUUGUUAACAGGGAAGGGCAGGAAACCAGUCAUUUCUUUGUGCCAUUCGCUUUUCCUUCGGGAGGAGUUACUUGGCGCAGAGAAGAGUCAGCAGCAUGUGGGUAUCUUCGUAGAAAGUGUGCAGGUUGGUGCGUUUCUUCGGAUUCGUUUAACCCGUACAUCCUACGCUGGUCCUGCAUGAGGAGUGAUAACCCGCCUCCGAAAGGGGACGGUGCUCUGAGGUCUGUUUGCCCUAGCGCGUGAGAGAACAAAGUUCUGUCUGUGCGAAAGGUGAAUACUGCUUUGGAUGCGCCAGUUGCUGGGUUCGCGCUGCAGACGAAAUGGUUUUCUUCCACCCGUCUUGAAACACGGACC
rnacentral:rRNA from 1 species